rnacentral:snRNA from 1 species
GGACAUGAGGGCGAUCUGGCUGCUACACUCAUCAUCCCAUUGAUCACUUGGGUUGACCAGGCUGAUCUGACUGACUAGGUGGGUGUCUCUUUUCUCCCUCACCACUCCAUGUGCAUCCCUCCAAAAGGUGCAGAUGGUGCUCAGUGGAAGAGGAUGACUUUCUCCAUAAAGGAGGACCAGUCUUUGGUCACAGUAUGUGAGCAGCUGAGCUCCCUUGCUAGAUCUUCCAAACAAGCUCUCAAGAGAGCGUACUAACAAAAUCGUGACAGAAAAAAUGGACUAUAAGUUUUACAUUGCUACUCAGUUUUACCCUUAUAAUGUUAUAUAUUCACAUAUUUUAAAGG